rnacentral:misc_RNA from 1 species
AAGUCGUAACAAGGUUUCCGUAGGUGAACCUGCGGAAGGAUCAUUUAAUGAAUUUGAACAGGACUUGAUGCUGGUCUACUUGUAGACAUGUGCUCGGUUCUCUCAAUCCAUUCAACACCUGUGCACUUUCAAAGUUGUGGUCCUCCGUCAUGGGAGCUGUGUCUUGUAAUGAGAUGCUGGGACUACGCUUUGCCCAUUAUCACAAACCAAUUUGUUGUCAUGUAGAAUGUCACUAGCCUAUGGGCUUAAUUUUAUACAACUUUCAACAACGGAUCUCUUGGCUCUC